UACGGGGGGAGCAAGCGUUGUUCGGAUUUACUGGGCGUAAAGGGCGCGUAGGCGGCCACCGCAGGUCGACUGUGAAAUCUCCGGGCUUAACCCGGAAAGGUCAGCCGAUACUGCGGGGCUAGAGUGCAGAAGGGGCAACUGGAAUUCUCGGUGUAGCGGUGAAAUGCGUAGAUAUCGAGAGGAACACCUGCGGCGAAGGCGGGUUGCUGGGCUGACACUGACGCUGAUGUGCGAAAGCUAGGGGAGCGAACGGG
rnacentral:rRNA from 1 species